CCUACACCACCAUAGAUGUUCCAAAGUAAUAGGGACAGACAGACGCUUCUCGACGUGAGACGCGGAAAACAGGCCUGUAUUAAAGCAGCUGAUUCUAAGACCUUCUGAAUGUGAAUAUGGAGCUGCGGUGCAGCAUCAACAUUAUUACAGGUUUCUACUUCCUAGUCUGUGGUUCCUCUACCAACAUCAACAUCAUUACAGCCGGAAACCGCGUCAAAUACAGCACACACGACUACGGCGUUGACGUCAAGAAUAUCUCAUCGAUUCUCUUCCGGGUCAAGGGAUGCACGGAUGGGAGGAUAAAUCUUUUGAAGGUCCUGACUUUACCGCUGACAAGGAUGCAUAUGUUUUGCUCGGCGGAUGGGGAAAUCGUAAAUGUGCAAUGCAUCCGUGCACUGGCUGUACAACUCUAGAAUCGGUAUGGUUCGCCUCCGUCUUGAACUGCAAUGAAAUGAGACCAAUGUGGAUGAACUGGACUAAUAGAUUGUUUAGCAUUGGGAACGGGGCUUAUGUUGGAGAAGAGACGUUCCUCUCCACAGAUGAACAGAGGGACUUUGAUAUCCAGUAUAUGUCAGUUGGAUCUACUUAUGAAGACAUAUUUGACUGGGAAUUCGAUGGCUACGCCGGGAAUUACUUUGAGCGGGUGGUGCCUUAUGGUUGGAGUACACGCCAAACGUUGUCUUCAGUGACGGCCUCCUCCACGGUAAACUGCAUCAAAAGUUGCCAAGGCAGGAUCAGCUGUAGGUCAGUCAGCUACCAGAGCACAACCAACACCUGUCAGUUAUACUUUGAACAAUCACGAUCCGCUGAUAUCCACCCUGACAACACUUGGGAAACGUGGAUUGACAGAAAUGUGUGAAAGAUGCUCUCGGAGUCUACACAAGGCAAUGAGACUGAAAAUCAAAAUUAGGUGCAUCUUAGACAUCUAGCAAUACUGUCAUCCAACAGUCCAGAAGACUCUGAAAUACUCUGUGUACACACACACUCACGCACACAUCCACACACACGCACAUACACACACACUGAGGGAAUCAACACUAAAGUAGCCUAAUGACUUGUGACAUUUACUAGUAGCAUUGAGACAUGACAGCCGAACUUCUUCAGAAAAAAUCACUAACCUGUUCAAUUUUUUCUCAUACACAGUUUCCAAGGACAGUUCAUUCAUUUUGCAAAAUUCCAGGCGGAAAAAGACUUCAUGCAUGUAUAUCAUUUCAUAAUUUUUAAUAACAUUGCACUUUUUUCCGAUCCCUUUCUUUUUGAUACACUGCCAUAGUGCAGUCAUGUUUGGGUAAUAGUGCUGAUUUUAUGGGGAAAACUUACAUUUUAAUUAACAAAUCGUCUGGAUCAUAUGAACGUUCAAUUAAAGGCAUUAUGGUGUACUAUUUGAUUAAUCUGAAGGGCAAGUUUAUUAUUUUGGUGACUAUACACUCAACAAAAUUAGAAACCUGACACAUACAUUAUUGGUAAUUAUUGUGAGCUGGGGAAUUCAUUCACGAGGGGCUAUCAAAACAGUUUGAGCCAAAAAUACAUCUGA